CUUAAUCUGGUGGACACAAUCUAAUCAGCUUCCAACGAAUGUAAAGCAGGCAUAAAAACAUAAAAAGGAGAGGCAGGCAUAAAAACAUAAAAAGGAGAGACAGGCCUAGCCUCCCAGCCUGCAUCUUUCACCCCUGCUGGAUGCCUCCUGCCCUUGAACAUCAGACUCCAAGUUCUUCAGUUUUGGGACUGGCUCUCCUUGCUCCUCAGCUUGCAGAGAGCCUAUUGAGCCUAUUGUGGGACCUUGUGAUCGUAAGCUGAGGACCAGAGGAGUGACUCUCGCACAGCGGCUCGGUGCCUGAGCUGGAAUUCCAACCAGGGCUGUCGCCCUCUAAAGCCCUGCCAUGGCAGUGCUGCCAGCUCACUCUCCUUGGGCUCCCUUCCCACCUCCCACAUCCCCAUGUCCCCAUGGACUCCUGGUGCCACGGCACAGCUGCAUGGGGGUGAUUCAUGCUGGACACCUGAGACACAAGGAGAGGAGGCAGGGAGCUGCCGAAAGAGGUUCAGUUAAAAACUUCCAACAAUGAGGGAAGAUGGGAUUUCCUCAUUUUGGCCAGGCCGGUCUUGAGCUCCUGACUUCAAGUAUUCUGCUCACCUCGGCCUCAGAAAGUACUGGAAUUACAGGCUUGAGCCAUCACGCCCGGCUUCGCUCCUGCUUUUGCCAUGUGACGUGCCUGCUCCCACUUUGCAUUCUGCCAUGAUGUCUCAAAAAUAAAAAUAAAAGUUUAAAAAAAUUGGAAGUUAAAGCUAAAGAAAAUCUUCUAGACUAAGAGAAAAACAAGAUAAAACACUAUAGAAAAAAUGAUAGAUAAUAUAAGGACCUCCAAGUAAUAUGAACUUCCCAAAGAGAGAACAGAAAAAAUGAAGGGAGAGAGUUAUAUAUAUAUAACUGCAGAUAUAUAACUAUA
rnacentral:lncRNA from 1 species